rnacentral:rRNA from 1 species
GAUGAACGCUGGCGGCGUGCCUAAUACAUGCAAGUCGAGCGAACAGACGAGGAGCUUGCUCCUCUGACGUUAGCGGCGGACGGGUGAGUAACACGUGGAUAACCUACCUAUAAGACUGGGAUAACUUCGGGAAACCGGAGCUAAUACCGGAUAAUACAUUGAACCGCAUGGUUCAAUAGUGAAAGACGGUUUUGCUGUCACUUAUAGAUGGAUCCGCGCCGCAUUAGCUAGUUGGUAAGGUAACGGCUUACCAAGGCAACGAUGCGUAGCUGACCUGAGAGGGUGAUCGGCCACACUGGAACUGAGACACGGUCCAGACUCCUACGGGAGGCAGCAGUAGGGAAUCUUCCGCAAUGGGCGAAAGCCUGACGGAGCAACGCCGCGUGAGUGAUGAAGGUCUUCGGAUCGUAAAACUCUGUUAUUAGGGAAGAACAAAUGUGUAAGUAACUAUGCACGUCUUGACGGUACCUAAUCAGAAAGCCACGGCUAACUACGUG